CGUGAUGAGAUGUCACCUCUGAGAUGAGGAUGUGAAACUCUCACUUCCCUCUUGCUGGCACUGUGGCUCUUUCACUCAUUCACUCUAAGGAAAGCCACACUGAGAGCUGCCCUGGGGAGGUGUCCCUGUGGCCAGGAACUGAGGGCAACCCUCCAGCCAACAACCAGCGAAGAACUGAGGCUCUCGGCCCAACAGCCUGCGUGGAAUGGAAUCCCACCAACAACCAUGGCAGUGAGCUUGAAAGUGGCCCCUCCCCAUCUCGAGCCUGAGAUGACCACAGCCCCAGCUGGACCGGGAACGCAGCCUGCAGACUCUGAGAUGGAGGACUCGGACGGAAAAGUGCCCCAAACCCUGUGUUCCGAAGACUUUGGGCCCAUGGUAUGGAAGCACGAGAGAUGCUCUAAAGGAACACUAAACCAGUAGUAACUCACAUGUGGAUGUGGCCGGUAUAUAACGAUUCUAUAAACAUGGAGGAAAGGCAAGCAACUUUUGGGAAGCAAAGCCUCACACCUUAGCCCGGGUCUGCCACAGCCUUAAAAUACGGGCGUGAUUCUGCCAAGAACAGGGAAGAAGGGAAGAUGGCUAGGCAGAGGGAUCCAGAAGCACAAAGGCAUGGAGGUACUGCAGAGUGCUGGGAAGUUUAGUGUUGUCAGAACAUAGGACACGCUGUUGCUUCUCUAACUCCUCCAGGUGACCUUCGUCACUCCUUCCUCUGUAUAACACCUUAAAAAAGCACAUGGCACACUGUCGUAUACUUGAGUCUAUUUUUCCCCAAACACUGCAAGCUACAGUAGCAUGUCCUAUUCAGAUUGAUAUCAUCUUCCACUCUCCAAGGCCUAAACAUACUAACCACUCCAAUAAAUGCUUGUUGAAUAAAUACAUGAAUGACAUUAUCUCAUUAGAAGUGCCCUAGGGGUAGAGCUACCACUAGGCAACCCCUAGUCAAACUCAUAGAGCAGAGAGACCAGAGUGACGCCCACACAGGAGAUAAAUAUAAUUUGCAUACUCAUCUACUAACAGAGCCAUUGUAAAGAUGCCUAGUGGGAAACGCAUUGUAG
rnacentral:lncRNA from 1 species